AACAAAGAAGUAAAAGCUUACAUUUAGUUUCGACCUAAAAUUAGAAUAAUAAUCCAUGUUU
rnacentral:tRNA from 1 species